UGCUGAUGGCUGGCUGGCUACCUUCGUGGCUGGGACAGAGGGCAGGCAGGAGGACUUCUCCUGCAGGCAGGCAGACUUCUCCUGCAGGCAGGCAUGCAAACUAUGUAAUCUCUGUAACAAGCAGAGAUCAGCCAGAGGCCUUUAAUGCUGCUGAGACCUUGACUACACAAGCACUGAGGAGAAACUGCCAGGCACACCUUGGAAGAGGAACAAUAACCCAUAAUUUGAUGACUCUAAAAGGUCCUGAGCAUUGGCUCCAACUCAGCCAUUGGGAAUUACCACCAGGAUGCUUCCUGGACACUCCAGGGACCAGUUUGGCUGGAAUUUCUCUUGUGUUUUGCACAGCACAUGCAGAGCCAGGAAUGGAUCCACACACAUACACACUGUACGAGGGAAAGCUGAAGCUGUAUGUUCUGGAUUUUCUCCUAGUAUUUCUUUACAGCUUGAAGUUGAAAAACUGGUCCUUAUCUCCUGAGCUCUAUCAGGAGUGGCAUCAGUGUCAGUUUCAUCAGGAGCACACCUUCUGGAAUGGGAGUGCUGCCCUGCAGGUGCCAAAACACAGGUGUUUAAGGACAUCUGAGAUGCCCUGGGGAUCCCACCUGGCCUCUCUCUGCUGAUCCAAAAGGACACAAAACCCUUUAGAUGGUAUCCCAGCUACCCCAAAGCAUUUCCAGUGACACAGAGGUUACUCCUAAAGGUUUGGGGUUUUAUUUUCAAUUUUUUUUUUCAUUUCGAAUGUCAUUAAUUGGUGUUUGAAUUAAACCAGUGAUGUGCAUGUAGCUCCAGGUGUUUUAUUGUCCAGGUUUAUGUGUUUUUUUGGGGAUCCACUACUCUGGAAGAAGGAGUAUGACCUUGUUUCUCUGGGACAGUGGUUGAUGUUGGCCACUCUCUGUCACAAGGAGGUCUACAUUAUAUUUUUAAUUCACUGGUAACCGCAAAGAAAUCCAGAGGAGAAAAAGAAGGAAUAACAAAACAAGAACAUUAGGAGCUGGAAGGGAUGGUGAGAGGAAAGACUUCCAAAAGUAGAGAGGUAAAGGAAGAGCCAUUAUUCAAACCUCAGGCUCCUCUGGAAGGCACACAGCAGAGCAAAGGCUCCCUCUCAGUCAUGGGAUGCCUGGUGCAACACAACUGCCUCCAGAAAACCUGCAGGUGAAAUGAAGUGGAAGAAACAGAUAAUACACAGGAAAAUGUACCCCUUGACAAGGAUCUUAGUUAUGAAAGUGCUUUAUAGGGUAAUAAAUGCUCAGUAGCAAGUUUAAAAUAAAAAUAA
rnacentral:lncRNA from 1 species